rnacentral:rRNA from 1 species
UCUGGUGGCGAUGGCGAGAAGGUCACACCCGUUCCCAUGCCGAACACGGAAGUUAAGCUUCUCAGCGCCGAUGGUAGUUGGGGGUUUCCCCCUGUGAGAGUAGGACGCCGCCAGGC